GCCUGGGUGGCUCAGUCGGUUAAGCGUCUGACUUCAGCUCAGGUCAUGAUCUUGCAGUCCGUGAGUUCAAGCCCCACGUUGGGCU
rnacentral:tRNA from 1 species